AAUACAUGAUGAGAAAAUGUUUCGGUCCCAGCUGAUGUACACUGAUAACUUAACAUUUUUCUGAUGUU
rnacentral:snoRNA from 15 species